UACAGAGGGGGCAAGCGUUGUUCGGAUUUACUGGGCGUAAAGGGCGCGUAGGCGGCCACCGCAAGUCGAUUGUGAAAUCUCCGGGCUUAACCCGGAAAGGUCAACCGAUACUGCGGGGCUAGAGUGCAGAAGGGGCAACUGGAAUUCUCGGUGUAGCGGUGAAAUGCGUAGAUAUCGAGAGGAACACCUGCGGCGAAGGCGGGUUGCUGGGCUGACACUGACGCUGAAGUGCGAAAGCUAGGGGAGCGAACGGG
rnacentral:rRNA from 1 species